CCCCAAUCAUUUUUAUAUCCAUGUCUCAAUGGACCUCAAAAUCACUGAUAAUUAUACUGAUUAUUGAUAUUUCAGGUCAGGACAGCUAGAUCCACUAUUUCUCUCACUGGUGGUCAGCUACUGGUCGCACUAUUACGUAUUAAUUGAGGAAAUUCAGGGCGGUCAGAUCAUGACGAUUGUCGGGAAUGGAUUGACGUCUAUCAGAAAUCACGGAACGUUGAUAGAUAUCUUCCUUCCCUCACUCCGGAGAACAGAAUAAUGGUGAUUGCGAUGGUGACACCUGCGGUUUCCAGCGUUGAAUGAAGAAUAAAAAUCUAAGUAUCCAGCUCAUCGUUGGCAGUACAGUGGCAUCGUCACGUAGAGGUUCAUGUUCCCCUAAAGGCACUUCGCUCAUUUAUUCAGUCUCAACUCCCUGACCAUCAAGGACUUUCGUACAAAAUUGCCCUACAUACGCAGUGCUAGCAUGUAUUAUGUCUUGCUGCAGUCCUGGAGGUCUCAAGUGUUUCUUGGAAAUAUCUGUUUCUAUGUAAAUUGCAAGGUUGACCUUAAAUAAAUCACGACGAAAAAAUUGUUUUCCUGGGUAGAAAAAUGCACUUGAAAAUGGGAAAUAUCAAGCGAAUUAUUAUCCCACUGGACUGUAUGGAAAUAAAAUUCUGUAACGUAUCUCACUGGAAAUAUAAAAGCUAGAAUGUCAAGAGAGAGGAAAUGCGAACUGAACACUCAACCUCAAAUCAAUGACGAUUAACCAGAGGAAUUAUUGAGUUUUUAUCAUAGUCACUGGGCCAUAUGGGAAAAAAUAAAUACGGCCAACAGUCUAGCCAGCGACAACAGAAAUUAUUGACUUUUUAAUCCCAUCCACGAGAACAUGUUGAACAAAAAUACAUGUUGAGACAUGUUGAGACAUCACUGCGGUUCAAUGAAUAUGGAUAGCUUUUUUUUCAAGUCCUUGCCUCACUUUCAAUAACCAAAAGGGGACGUGUCGAGAAUCCCCACUCGACUAGAAUCGUUUCUCUAUUUCGUGUGACAAAUCCGUCGAGGCGCUCAUUAUGGCCCACAUACGUCUGAAUUAUUUAACACUCGGAGUUGAAGAAUUGAAAGCAUUCAUCUGCUACAUAUCAUGAAAUGACAAUUACGAAAUGAUUCGUCAUUGUAUUGCUGUUCCGCAUGUUUCAGUCUGCGAUUUUUCUCUUCAUCGGUUAAUUCCGUGAAUUUCGGACGUAAAUUGCCUUGAGGGAUUGUUGCGAAAGUGUCUAGAUGGUCUUGAGAAUUAAUGAAUUUAUUGGUGCUUGACUAUCACUGAAGGCGUGUCAUAAAAAAAUUAUAAAACACAAAUAAAAAUCAGAUUGGGGGCGAUUAUGUGACCAUUUUGUACAGAAAUAAA